GACGAUCGCUGGUGGCGCGCUUAACACAUGCAAGUCGAACGGAAAGGCCCUGCUUUUGUGGGGUGCUCGAGUGGCGAACGGGUGAGUAACACGUGAGUAACCUGCCCUUGCCUUUGGGAUUACUUCAGGAAACUGGGGCUAAUACCGGAUAGGCGCUCCUGCUGCAUGGUGGGGGUUGGAAAGUUUCGGCGGUUGGGGAUGGACUCGCGGCUUAUCAGCUUGUUGGUGGGGUAGUGGCUUACCAAGGCUUUGACGGGUAGCCGGCCUGAGAGGGUGACCGGCCACAUUGGGACUGAGAUACGGCCCAGACUCCUACGGGAGGCAGCAGUGGGGAAUUUUGCACAAUGGGCGGAAGCCUGAUGCAGCAACGCCGCGUGCGGGAUGACGGCCUUCGGGUUGUAAACCGCUUUCGCCUGUGACGAAGCGUGAGUGACGUGAAUGGGUAAAGAAGCACCGGCUAACUACGUG
rnacentral:rRNA from 1 species